ensembl:lncRNA
GUGUGUGUGUGUGUGUGUGUGUGUGUGUGUUGUUUACUGUAGUAGAGGGAAAGGUGUGUUUGGAGCAACAUGAAAGCCUGGGCAAUGACCCAGUGAAUCAAUCACCAUAGUGAUGUUCAACCACUGUUGGACUGUGGACAUUUGCUGUUAACAACCAAUAAAGCAGGAGAAUAGCAGGAACAUAAAGCACACACACACACUCACACACACACAAACACACCACACACACACACACACACACACACACACACACACACACACACACACACACACACGCACACACAUUAAGUUACAGCAAUUGUCAUCUUAUUUGUGGUGUAGAGGACUUCAUGCAGAGAGAUGAUGUAUGAGUGUACUAUACAGGGUACUUACAAUGAAUAAAACACUGAUGGUCAGAAACAGGGUUCGGAAACCCUGUCCACCGAUUUCUAAAGCCCUGUCCACUGAUUUCUAAAACCCUGUCCACUGAUUUCUAAAAUCCUAUCCACUGAUUUUUAAAACCCUGUCCACUGAUUUCUAAAACCCUAUAUACUGAUUUCCAAAACCCUAUCCAGUGACUUCCCAAACCCUAUCCACUGACUUCCCAAACCCUAUCCAAUGAUCUACCAACCCCUAGCCACUGUUUUCUCAAACCCUGUCUACUUAUUUCACGAAUCAUAUACACUGAUUUCCCAAACCCUAUCCAUUGACUUCCAAAUCCCUAUCCAUUGACUUCCCAAACCCUAUCCACUGACUUCCAAAACCCUAUCCAUUGACUUCCCAAACCCUAUCCACUGACUUCCCAAACCAUAUCCUUAGUGACUUAGUGACUUAGUGAUAGUGUAUCAGGAGAUAAAGGAAUAUUUUAAGUUUUCAACCAUAAAUUUUCAACAACAACAGUAACAACAAUAUUAAAAAUGAAGUUACAGGGAAACAUUUGUAUGUUGUUAAAGAAAGUAUUAAGUAAUACAUAUACCUGUUUCCAGCUAUUACAAUGAGAAGACCAAUUCUCUGACAUAAAUUUAUACAUUCAUAUAUUAAACUAAUACUGCUAAAUUUGAGAAUGAGAUGAUGAGGAACACUUAUAAGAAGAGACCAAUUCUAAUGCAUGCUGAAAAGUUUAGGAAUGUGCUUUUGAGGUCAGUUUAAUAUUGUUUUUGAGUAUAUUUCUUUUGAACAUGGAUUUUAUGCUCUUAAAGUGAUUUUACCCCCUUAUAAUAACUGGCUGUUUAAAUACGAGUGUGUCAGCGAUUUGUUCGAUGCAGGGGAAACGGGGGAACCAGGGUUGGAUUAACGCACUCUCUCGCAUGCCGUAGAUAAAAAGACCUUUAUUUUUCUUAACAAAAACAAAUAAUGAAUGAAAACUUAUUGAAAUGAAACCUUACUAUUGAAUUUAACGUAAAAUGACUUAUUGUGAAUUGGCGUGCAGGAGCGUGGUCAAAAUAGGUGUGCUUCCCAGCUCUCCAUUUCCAUCCGCGCCUGUUGGAAGGUUAACCCACGUUAUAUACACCUCCCACACCACACGUGACCCAUGACCCAGGAGCAAUUGCACCACCAAACCUCACAAAACACAACACAAUCCCAAACAAACAGAUCAAAAACAGCCCCAAAUUCCAACUCCACAACAAAAUGGCAAAAUGGCUGUAACAACGGGUGUGAAGAACGCACAGUAUGUUUGGACCUACCAUUGUGUCCUGGGAGCUUUAAGGGCUUGAAAUAGAUAUAUUAUUAAUCUCGUGUAUGCAAAAUGCUCAACCCCAAUCUGUAGACAAUCAAAAAAAAAAACCCUACAACAGCAGUUUAAAUCUAGCCUAAUUUAGUGACAAACCAUCUAUCUGGCAUAGAGAGAUAAACAUCUAUAGACACUUAUUUUUGGUGUUGUAUUUUUCUCAUAAUACAUGCAUUUGUUUAUGCUGAGCUGAUUCACAUUUUGUUGUGCUGUGCUGAGUCAUAUCUCCACAAGUUCCAGUGUUUAUUAUUUGUGCUGCAAAAAAAAAAAAAAAAAAAAAAAAAAAGGGAAAAAAGGCGAUUUGUUAUUUUAGUAUUCAGAGGCAGUAAUAGGUAUUGACCAUUUUUUUUCUUCUUCAGCAAUUUGCGUGCUUCCGGCUUAAUUGUUAUUGGAGAUUUUAUCUUGAAUUUGAUGUAUCGGAGCUUGAACCUGUUAAGCUGUGUCAGGGAUGAGGAAGCAUAAGAGGAAGCUAUGCAGAAUAAUCCCUGUCUGCGUAAUUAAUGACCCUUAAAAUGGAGGCAGCGUUUGCUGCACUCUCUGGCCUGGACAGGUGGUGCUCCGGUGUCCUCCUGACCUCUACCAGUUCCUUCAUUAAACACUGAUGCUUUACAGCACACUCAAUGGAGACAAGGGAACACACACACACACUCAAACACACAUAAAACCAUGCAUUUGUGUAGGUUUUAAAAUUUGUUUACACAUGCUUCACCGUAUAGUCCUAUAUGCUGAAAUGACCUCAGCUAGGAACCGUGCCAAAGAGCAGGUGAUAGUAAAGUUUCUAAAAAUCUUGUGGCCCUCUGUUUCCUCUAGAGCUUCACAAUUCAAAGAGCAGGCUUAUCUUCUUUCCACCUUGGACUCUGAUGGGAAAUCUCGAAUGAACCAUCUCCAAGGACGGGUGUGCUCUGACAUCAGGCAAUCUGACGGAUCUAAAUCGUUACAUCUCUUUUGACAUUAAUAUGGCAUUUUUGGUGGCGCCAACUAAAAGUGGCAUACAGUUCAAGGAUUUGUCAUGCUGGCAGGAUGAAAAUAACAUAUUUAUAUGAGUGAGGAAUUAGGCUCUUUGAAUAUGCAGGAAAUCCAGUGGCCACUGACUGAGGAACAGGAGUCUCGGGUCUGCCUUAUCUACUCUAUUUAUGAGCAGUAUGUCAAAGUGUUCAUGCACAUCCUGAAUGACAGUUAUCUUUGGAGGAUUUUUUAUGUACUUUUAUUUGAAAAAAUAAAUUUUUUGGUGAUGAUUUUAAGAGAACUCUCUUAACAGAUUCGCACAGCUGAGACAUGAGACAACAUAUGUGAAUUAAUGAGAUGAUGUUAACACAGUUGUUUACUUUUUUUACUUUUUUUUUUUUUUUUUUAGGCUAAUGGUAAUUUGUGUGUAUGAGCAGGCGCUUAUGCCUCAGUGUAACCACUGUAGUGUCUGAUUGUGAGGACACUGUUUUAUAUGCAAAUGAUUUGUUUGGUCAGUAAACGUUGUACUGACCAGUAGGUCCAUAAAUUACCAUUGGCGUAUUUGACAGAUUAUUAAUCUGAUGCAAAACUGUUUGUGCUCAUUUUGCCAGGUGAAUAAAUAGUUCGGGCAAAUUGACCUCACUGAUGGUAGACAGCAUGGAGGACAAAGUCAACUUUGCAAAAUAAGAAAAAAGAGAAAAAUGAUCAAAUGUAAAUAUUUAUUCUCUCACAUAUUAAAGAGUGACAGGACAAGAGAGACAGUAUCCACAAGCAAUGGGGUCACUGCACAAGGAUAAAAGCACUGCAUUAUGGGAACAAUAAGUGUGGGCCUAAAUGAAGGGAAGAGAUAAAAGCUGAGGAGCAAAGUUGGGCCUCACUUUAGCUCUGCUGUCCUGGAGGAAGCGGUCUCUCUUUGUUCCUGACAGUCUUUCUCAGAUUAGACCUGGAUUCCCCAGGUAAAAAGGCCAGCCAGGCCUUAUCUUGGCUGAUAAGUCCCUUGCACCUUGUCUGUGACUGCGUGUGCGACCGUGUGUGCAUGCAAAUAUCUUCAGCUGUCAACCCCCCCCCCCUUCUCUCACACACACACACACACACACACACACACGCACACACACACAAACACCCCCCCCCCCCCCCCCCCCCCAACCUUCUGUCUGAAUCAGGGAGACAUAACACAAACUUUGAGUCGGUUUUGCUUCUGGUUUUUUUACUUUGAUUUUUGUGUUUUGAAAUGCAAGACUGAAAAUUGUUAAUAAUUAUGGCAGUUUAUGCGGUUUCAUUUAUUUGAGUGUGUGUGUGCUUUGCUAUAUGUAUGUCGUUAUAUUUUAUUGGCUCAGUGACACUGUCUCCUUACUGACUCCUUAAUAGCAUGUUUUCUCAAGGGAGCUCCACAGAUAUAGUAAUCCUGAAGUGUGAUGUGGUAGUAUUAAAAUCUGUUCAUAUCAUAAAGAGAAAGGGAACGGAGCAGCAUUGCAUGCAAAACACGGCAAUGCCUUCACUGGCCUGUUCCCACCAUAGUGCAAUUAACUCUUGGGGGGGACAGAAGUAUGUUGUACUGUUAUGAUUACUCAAGCAAAUAAUGGAAAAGCCUCACAGUGACAUGUCAUCUCCUCCAUGUCUGCUACAAAAUGGUUUUUCUUCCACAGUCUUCCAGGGAAUUAAACAUUCGUCAUGUUUGCUACUAAGCUCAGUUAAAAUUACAAUACGUAAUACUGGCCAGGUAGUCAAAACCAUGUCAGGUCCUUUCAAUGCAAUUUGACAGAUGUUUUUCUGUCCCAUGCUUAGUUUUAAAGCUGAUGUUAGGGUUUUGUGCAUGUAUGUGUGUGUGUGUGUGUGUCUCUGUGUGUGUGUGUGUGUGUGUGUGUGUGUGUGUGUGGGUGUGUGUGGGUGUGUGUGUGUGUGCGUGUGUGUGUGUGUGUGUGUGUGUGUGUGUGUGUGUGUGUAUGUGUGUGUGUGUGUGUUGCUCUGUCCCCACACACUGUUGGGACUCCAGUUAAGUAUUUUUUCUGUGGCUCUGUAUGUCCAGUAGUUUACACAUCGUUGUAUGUUGUAUAUGCAUUCUGAUGGCCCUGUACAGUCUUCAUGUUUUAUACAUAUAUCAUAUAUUUAUUUGUUUUAAAUAUUUAGUAUGUUACUUACAUUUUCUGUUUGUAGUGAAGGCUCAGAUGUGUCCAAGAGAGAGAUCUAAGUGGUGGCAUUCAGAGGAUAAAAAAGUAGGGAAAAUCAUUUUUGCAUAGAAAGCCUUAAGGCUGACCCAGAUCACCACAUACACUGGGUCUUGUGCAGAUCACUGCCUUCCCACUAUCCAUGUUAAUUUACUGCAGAAAAAAGAAAAGAGAAAGAUGUCCAUUCAAUAGUGUCCUUAGCAUUCUGCUCAAAACAACCAUCAUACGAUUCCUCAUUUUAAUAUCUAAACAAAAUACUCAUGUCAACAUAUGUCAACAGUGUCUACAUUUCAUUUCUGAAGUUUUUAAAAAAAGAAAUUAAUUUCUUUUUAAAUUAGAAUGAGUAAAGGAAUGUUUAGGUUUACCCUCAAAUAUAGAUAUCAGUUCCACUAGUCUUGUUUGAAUCUAUUUCUUGGCCCACUAAAUGACCAGCUUAAUAAACAGUUGUAUUCUUGGCAGCGUCCAGUCCCAGAAGCUGAGAGAGACAUUUUAGAGUGUCUUAGUACUGUGUCAAGAUCACACAGAU